rnacentral:tRNA from 1 species
GGGAAUGUAGCUCAGUGGUAUAGCGCAUGCUAAGUACGUAUGAGGCCCUGGGUUCAAACCCCAGCACCA